rnacentral:tRNA from 1 species
GCCGAAAUAUGCUCAGUUGGGAGAGCGUUAGACUGAAGAGAUCUAAAGGUCCCUGGUUCGAUCCCGGGUUUCGGCA